rnacentral:rRNA from 1 species
GGACUACCGGGGUAUCUAAUCCCGUUCGCUACCCUGGCUUUCGUGUGUGAGCGUCAGGAACGCGCCAGUAGAGUGCCUUCGCCUUUGGUGUUCCCCAUGAUAUCAACGGAUUUCACCCCUCCACCAUGAGUUCCCUCUACCUCUCGCGCCCUCGAGCCCUGCCGUUUCCCUUGCGGACCGUAGGUUGAGCCCACGGAUUUUACAAGAGACUAACAGGGCCGCCUGGACACCCUUUACGCCCAGUGAUUCCGGAUAAUGCUUGGGGCCUCUGUAUUACCGCGGCUGCUGGCAC